rnacentral:rRNA from 1 species
UACGUAGGGUCCGAGCGUUGUCCGGAAUUACUGGGCGUAAAGAGCUCGUAGGCGGUUUGUCGCGUCUGCUGUGAAAACUCGGGGCUUAACUCCGGGCCUGCAGUGGGUACGGGCAGACUAGAGUGCGGUAGGGGAGACUGGAAUUCCUGGUGUAGCGGUGAAAUGCGCAGAUAUCAGGAGGAACACCGGUGGCGAAGGCGGGUCUCUGGGCCGUAACUGACGCUGAGGAGCGAAAGCGUGGGGAGCAAACAGG